UACGAGGGAUGCAAGCGUUAUCCGGAAUUAUUGGGCGUAAAGCGUUUGUAGGCGGGCGAGUGUGUUUAAUGUUAAAUCUUAAAGCUCAACUUUGAAAUUGCGUUAAAAACUGCUUGUCUUGAGUAUGGUAGGGGUAAAGGGAAUUCCCAGUGUAGCGGUGAAAUGCGUAGAUAUUGGGAAGAACACUAAACAGCGAAGGCACUUUACUAGGCUAAUACUGACGCUGAGAAACGAAAGGUAAGGUAGCGAAACGGAUUAGAUACCCGUGUAGUCUUACCCGUAAACUAUGGACACUAAACGGUAAAUUUUUAAUUUACUGUUAAAGCUAACGCGUUAAGUGUCCCGCCUGGGGAGUAUGCUUGCAAAAGUGAAACUCAAAGGAAUUGACGGGGGCCCGCACAAGCGGUGGAGCAUGUGGUUUAAUUCGACGGUACACGAAGAACCUUACCAGGAUUUGACAUGCUAGAUAGUUGCUUGAAAGAGUAACGUGCCGUAAGGAAUCUAGACACAGGUGGUGCAUGGCUGUCGUCAGUUCGUGUUGUGAAAUGUUGGGUUAAGUCCCGCAACGAACGCAACCCUUGUCUUUAGUUAUUUUCUAAAGAGACUGCCUGUAAUAAACAGGAUGAAGGUAAGGAUGAGGUCAAGUCAUCAUGCCCCUUAUGUUCUGGGCUACACACGUGCUACAAUGGGAAAGACAAUGAGCUGCAAAUCUGUAAAUUUAAGCAAAUCUCUUAAACUUUCUCGUAGUUCGGAUUGUGGGCUGCAACUCGCCCACAUGAAGUUGGAAUCGCUAGUAAUCGCCAGUCAGCUAUAUGGCGGUGAAUCCGUUCCCGGGCCU
rnacentral:rRNA from 1 species